GCCUGUGAUGUCUGCACCGGGAGAAAACUGAAAGCCUGAGGAUCCUGAAGAAGGUGUCGCUUACGCCUCCGUCAGCUACACCAAGAAUUGUAACAGCAAAGUCAAGGCUGAUGAUGACGAUGAAGGUGAAGCUGUGACGUACAGCACUGUGAGAGUUUCCUCCCCUGGUGCUGAAGCCUCCGUUGAUCCCAGCGGCCUCUAUGCCACCAUCAACAAACCAAACAAUGGAGAGACAAACGGAUAGUUAUCAUGUCAUUAAUCUGAUAUCAUAUGUAUAUCUUAAGAGAAGAGUUUCAUACUCUCACUUGGUACUUAUUGCUUAUUCUAUUAUUUCCAUGUUAUUUUAUAUUUUAUGUAUAUAUUUGUUAGAAUGUAUUUAAAUUCCAGCAAGACUGAGAUCAUUUUGAUUGGACCACAGCACCUGACUAAGCAAGUACUGCCAUCUGCUGGUACCCUAGUAGACCACAUCAAACCUGCUGCUAAACAUCUGGGUGUCUGGUUUGACAGCAACUUAAAUUUUGAGCAGCUCACAACAAAGCUUGUACAGUCUUGUUUUUAUCAGCUCAGAAAUAUUUCUAAAAUGUUUUAGA